rnacentral:rRNA from 1 species
CUGUAAUUAGGGGAUAGCUCGGAUGAAAGUCGAAUUAAUACCCUAUAUUCUAUUUUAUCCGCAUGGGUUUUAUAGGAAAGAUUUAUUGAUUACAGAUGGGCAUGCGUUCCAUUAGCUUGUUGGUGAGGUAACGGCUCACCAAGGCAACGAUGGAUAGGGGGACUGAGAGGUUGACCCCCCACACUGGUACUGAGACACGGACCAGACUCCUACGGGAGGCAGCAGUGAGGAAUAUUGGUCAAUGGGCGGAAGCCUGAACCAGCCAAGUCGCGUGAAGGAAGACGGUCCUAUGGAUUGUAAACUUCUUUUGUAGAGGAAUAAUGGCGUCCACGUGUGGAUGAGAGGAAUGUACUCUACGAAUAAGUAUCGGCUAACUCCGUGCCAGCAUCCGCGGUAAUACGGAGGAUACCAGCGUUAUCCGGAUU